rnacentral:rRNA from 1 species
GAUGAACGCUGGCGGCGUGCCUAAUACAUGCAAGUCGAGCGACGCGGGGGCGGGUGAGUAACACGUUGAUAACCUCCUAUAAGACUGGGAUAACUUCGGGAAACCGGAGCUAAACCGGCUUCUUAACGCUGGAUCCGCUCUGCCUUAGCUAGUUGGUAAGUUAACGGCUUACCAAGGCAACGAUGAAUCGCCGACCUGAGAGGGUGAUCGGCCACACUGGAACUGAGACACGGUCCAGACUCCUACGGGAGGCAGCAGUAGGGAAUCUUCCGCAAUGGGCGAAAGCCUGACGGAGCAACGCCGCGUGAGUGAUGAAGGUCUUCGGAUCGUAAAACUCUGUUAUUAGGGAAGCGGUACCUAAUCAGAAAGCCACGGCUAACUACGUGCCAGCAGCCGCGGUAAUUC